rnacentral:rRNA from 1 species
UACGGGAGGCAGCAGUGGGGAAUAUUGCACAAUGGGCGAAAGCCUGAUGCAGCUAUGCCGCGUGUAUGAAGAAGGCCUUAGGGUUGUAAAGUACUUUCAUCGGGGAGGAAAAAACAAAACUAAUAAUUUUAUUUCUUGACGUUACCCGAAAAAGAAGCACCGGCUAACUCCGUGCCAGCAGCCGCGGUAAUACGGAGGGUGCUAGCGUUAAUCAGAAUUACUGGGCGUAAAGAGCACGUAGGUGGUUUUUUUAAGUCAGAUGUGAAAUCCCUGGGCUUAACCUGGAACUGCAUUUUGAAACUGAAAUACUAGAGUAUCGUAGAGGGAGGUAGAAUUCUAGGUGUAACGGUGGAAUAGCGUAGAUAUCUGGUAGGAAGUAACCUCGUGGCGGAAACGACGGCCGUCCUAAACCGAACUAACUGACACUGAGGUGCGAAAGACG